UUAUCCCACCAGGAUGUGUAAUCAAAUUACUCUAGUUGAAUGCCACUGGGAAGACUUCCACUUCGUGCGGUUACAUCACAGGCUCUUCCAGCAAAUGAUUCUUAAAGUAAGAAGUAACAUCCAGCACACAGAAAAGAGGAGAUGGUGAAAGCUCUUGG